rnacentral:rRNA from 1 species
GGUCAUUUAGAGGAAGUAAAAGUCGUAUGCUCGCUGUAGAUGUCGCUGGUGCGGAGGGAUCAUUACACAAUAAAAUACGAAGGCCGUUAUCGCUCGUGAUAGUUAUUACCCUUGUCUUUUGCGCACUUGUUGUUUCCUGGGCGGGUUCGCUCGCCACCAGGACCACAAUAUAAACCUAUCGCUCGUGAUAGUGCCCAGCGUCAGUAUAACAAAUGUAAAUCAAUGCUCGCUGAUGAUAGCGGAUCUCUUGGUUCUGGCAUCGAUGAAGAACGCAGCGAAAUGCGAUACGUAGUGUGAAUUGCAGAAUUCAGUGAAUCAUCAUCGCUGUAGAUGUCGCUGGCGCCCAUUGGUAUUCCAAUAUCGCUCGUAGUAGUCGUGUCAUUUGUACCCUCAAGCCUUGCUUGGUGUUGGGUGUUUGUCCUCCAAGACUCGCCUUAAAACAAUUGGCAGCCGGCAUAUUGGUUUCGGAGCGCAGCACAAAUUGCGGUCCUUCCAUGAAUGUCGGCAUCCAUGAUGCUCGCUGAUGCCACUUUUGACCUCGGAUCAGGUAGGGAUACCCGCUGAACUUAAGCAUAUCAAUAAGCGGAGGAAUGCUCGCUGAUAGA